rnacentral:rRNA from 1 species
UGCGAGCGAACAGGGAAGAGCCCAGCACCGAAUCCCGCGGCCGAUAUCGGGCGCCGGGAAAUGUGGUGUUAGGGAGGAUCCGUUUAUCUCGAGGUCGUGCGGUGCGUCCAAGUCCUUCUUGAACGGGGCCACAGCCCAUAGAGGGUGCCAGGCCCGUAGCGACCGCUGCCGAUCGCGGGAGGAUCUCUCCUCAGAGUCGGGUUGCUUGAGAGUGCAGCCCUAAGUGGGUGGUAAACUCCAUCUAAGGCUAAAUAUGACCACGAGACCGAUAGCGAACAAGUACCGUGAGGGAAAGUUGAAAAGCACUUUGAAGAGAGAGUUCAAGAGUACGUGAAACCGUUCAGGGGUAAACCUGAGAAACCCGAAAGGUCGAAAGGGGAAAUUCAUUCGCGUUUCGGCCGUCGGCGUUGGAUGGUCGAGUGACGGACGGCGUACGCGUCGUCCGCGCCUUCCUUUCAUCGAACCGGCGCCGAACGCGUGCACUUUUCCCCUAGUAGGACGUCGCGAUCCGUUGGGUGUCGGUCUAUGGCCCGCGGUGGAGCCCGUGCGGAUAACGUUUCAACGACGUGUCCGCUCGGACCCGCGGUGUCCCGGCCGACUCGCUCGACGGUAUACAGAUGGCGCGGGGCCGCUACUAAUUCAGUUAGCGUUCGAC